rnacentral:rRNA from 1 species
GACGAACGCUGGCGGCGCGCUUAACACAUGCAAGUCGAACGGAAAGGCCCUGCUUUUGUGGGGUGCUCGAGUGGCGAACGGGUGAGUAACACGUGAGUAACCUGCCCUUGACUUUGGGAUAACUUCAGGAAACUGGGGCUAAUACCGGAUAGGAGCUCCUGCUGCAUGGUGGGGGUUGGAAAGUUUCGGCGGUUGGGGAUGGACUCGCGGCUUAUCAGCUUGUUGGUGGGGUAGUGGCUUACCAAGGCUUUGACGGGUAGCCGGCCUGAGAGGGUGACCGGCCACAUUGGGACUGAGAUACGGCCCAGACUCCUACGGGGGGCAGCAGUGGGGAAUAUUGCACAAUGGGCGGAAGCCUGAUGCAGCAACGUCGCGUGCGGGAUGACGGCCUUCGGGUUGUAAACCGCUUUCGCCUGUGACGAAGCGUGAGUGACGGUAAUGAGUAAAGAAGCACCGGCUAACUACGUG